rnacentral:rRNA from 1 species
AGCGAACGCUGGCGGCAGGCCUAACGCAUGCAAGUCGAACGAACUCUUCGGAGUUAGUGGCGGACGGGUGAGUAACACGUGGGAACGUGCCUUUAGGUUCGGAAUAACUCAGGGAAACUUGUGCUAAUACCGAAUGUGCCCUUCGGGGGAAAGAUUUAUCGCCUUUAGAGCGGCCCGCGUCUGAUUAGCUAGUUGGUGAGGUAAAGGCUCACCAAGGCGACGAUCCGUAGCUGGUCUGAGAGGAUGAUCAGCCACAUUGGGACUGAGACACGGCCCAAACUCCUACGGGAGGCAGCAGUGGGGAAUCUUGCGCAAUGGGCGAAAGCCUGACGCAGCCAUGCCGCGUGAAUGAUGAAGGUCUUAGGAUUGUAAAAUUCUUUCACCGGGGACGAUAAUGACGGUACCCGGAGAAGAAGCCCCGGCUAACUUCGUG